CCUACGGGGGGCAGCAGUGAGGAAUAUUGGUCAAUGGACGCAAGCCUGAACCAGCAAUGCCGCGUGCAGGAAGACGGCUCUAUGAGUUGUAAACUGCUUUUGUACGAGGGUAAACGCAGAUACGCGUAUCUGUCUGAAAGUAUCGUACGACUAAGGAUCGGCUAACGCCGUGCCAGCAGCCGCGGUAAUACGGAGGAUUCAAGCGUUAUCCGGAUUUAUUGGGGUUAAAGGGUGCGUAGGCGGUUGGAUAAGUUAGAGGUGAAAUCCCGAGGCUCAACUUCGGAAUUGCCUCUGAUACUGUUCGGCUAGAGAGUAGUAGCGGUAGGCGGAAUGUAUGGUGUAGCGGUGGAAUGCGUAGAGAUCAGACAGAACACCGAUUGCGAAGGCAGCUUACCGGGCUACUUCUGACGUUGAGGCACGAAAGUGUGGGGAGCAAACAGGAUUAGAUACCCUUGUAGUC
rnacentral:rRNA from 1 species